AGUGAACGCUGGCGGUAGGCCUAACACAUGCAAGUCGAACGGCAGCACAGUAAGAGCUUGCUCUUACGGGUGGCGAGUGGCGGACGGGUGAGGAAUACAUCGGAAUCUACUUUUUCGUGGGGGAUAACGCAGGGAAACUUACGCUAAUACCGCAUACGACCUACGGGUGAAAGCAGGGGAUCUUCGGACCUUGCGCGAUUGAAUGAGCCGAUGUCGGAUUAGCUAGUUGGCGGGGUAAAGGCCCACCAAGGCGACGAUCCGUAGCUGGUCUGAGAGGAUGAUCAGCCACACUGGAACUGAGACACGGUCCAGACUCCUACGGGAGGCAGCAGUGGGGAAUAUUGGACAAUGGGCGCAAGCCUGAUCCAGCCAUACCGCGUGGGUGAAGAAGGCCUUCGGGUUGUAAAGCCCUUUUGUUGGGAAAGAAAAGCAGCAAGUUAAUACCCCGCUGUUCUGACGGUACCCAAAGAAUAAGCACCGGCUAACUUCGUG
rnacentral:rRNA from 1 species